GUGUGCGUUCCCGGCGAAGGCUUGCUGGGGCUGGCCGGGAUCUGAGGUUGGUUGAUAUUUUCAUGUAAAGAUUGACACUCCUUCUUUUUCGUUUUUAUCUUCUUCCCAGUUCACGUGCAGGGACUAGAUUGCUGGCUAGAUCUUCCUAACUGAACCACUUGAUGUUAAACUCUGUACGUGUAUAGCUAGAUUGCCUGCUAGAUCUUGCUUUAUAAAUUAUUCAUUGCCUUCCAUACAAAGGUUCUGGUUUUGACUUUUGUUUCAGAUAUUAAUUUUUGUUCUAGCUCUUUUUUGUACAGACAAUGUGUGUGCUGUUUAAACGAUGAUUAUGACAUUGCGAGGCCUGGUACAGAUUGUAUUUAUAAUGUAUUUAUUUCCAGUUUUGGUUAAGAGUUGUUACUUGAUACAACGUGCUUUUCAAUUGCAGGUCCAUGAUGCAGUUCCACCUCUCUCCGUAGCACAAAACCUUUCUUGCCACACAUUAUGCAAGUCAUCCUCAUUGAUCAUACAUUUAUAAUUUCUUCACGGUUCAGUAUAUCACAUAUAUUAGGAUGUUAAAGCCACUCAUGGGUUGGAUGCUAUAGCAUAAGGAAAAUUGAUAGCCAGCCAUGAUCGUCCAUCCAUCAAUUUAGUUUGCUUUUUCUUCUGUUGUUAGUUUCUACUACUUUGCUAGCUAAGUGAUGUCUAUCUGAAGCUGUGAACCUUAUGAACCCUGAUCUGAAUCUUGGUGUUUGCGAAUUCUGAAUGAAGGGCAUGGAACCAGUCCUUCUAAAUGAAUUUGCUGAUGAGUGUGUUGCAUUGUUGAUUUCAUGGUUAUUCUUC
rnacentral:lncRNA from 1 species